AUUGAACGCUGGCGGCAGGCCUAAUACAUGCAAGUCGAACGAGUGGCGGACGGGUGAGUAAUGUAUGGGAAACUGCCUGAUGGAGGGGGAUAACUACUGGAAACGGUAGCUAAUACCGCAUACCAUCGGAUGUGCCCAGAUGGGAUUAGCUAGUAGGUGGGGUAAAGGCUCACCCAGGCGACGAUCCCGAGCUGGUCUGAGAGGAUGACCAUCAAAACUGGAACUUAGACACGGUCCGUACUCCUACGGAAGGCAGCAGUGGGGAAUAUUGCACAAUGGGGGCAAGCCUGAUGCAGCCAUGCCGCGUGUAUGAAGAAGGCCUUCGGGUUGUAAAGUACUUUCAGCGGGGAGGCGUUACCCGCAGAAGAAGCACCGGCUAACUCCGUGCCAGCCGCCGCGGUAAUUC
rnacentral:rRNA from 1 species